rnacentral:rRNA from 1 species
GAUGAACGCUAGCGGCAGGCCUAAUACAUGCAAGCCGAACGGCAAGUUUGAUAGCAAUAUUGGACCUAGAGUGGCGCAAGGGUGCGUAACACGUAUGCAACCUGCCCGCGACAGGAGGAUAGCUCCCCGAAAGGGGAAUUAACCCUCCAUAACACCAUGAGAAGGCAUCUGAUUAUGGUUAAACCGCAAGGGGUCGCGGAUGGGCAUGCGGUUGAUUAGCUAGUUGGCGGGGUAAAGGCCCACCAAGGCGGUGAUCAAUAGGGGUUCUGAGAGGAAGGUCCCCCACACGGGCACUGAGAUACGGGGCAGACUCCUACGGGGGGGAGGAGUAGGGAAUAUUGGACAAUGGUUGGAAGACUGAUCCAGCCAUGCCGGGUGGAGGAAAAAGGCCUUCUGGGGUGUAAACUGGUUUUUCCUGGGGAUAAAAAACCCGGGCGGGGGGAAUUGAAGGGAACAGGGGAAAAAGCCAAGGCUAAAUACC